CGUUUCCUCGGGAGAGGGUGGGCCGAGUCCUUAAAUGAACCGCUCCCUCUUCCCCGGCGGGCUGGGGGUUUAAGCCUCCUUUCUCUUACCCGUCCCAUCCCCUAGCUCCUUUCCGUAGGGUCCGGGAGACUUAGCUCCGAGUCCAAAUCCGCCCUCGCACCUUUAGUGACGUGUUUUAAGACUGUCACUUAGCCGCGUUUGCCUCAUUUGUAAGGAAACCCUCCUUGGGAUCCCUAAAAGUGGGACUCGACUGGAAAACGGCUCAACCGCCGUAACAGCCACGAGGACGGGGGGAUAUAAAAGAUAGAGAGCUGCCCUUGGUCAGCAAUACCGGAGAUCUUGGUCCUGUAUCAGACUAGAAUGGAUGAGUGACCGUGUGACAAUCAGGCACCCAAGAGAACUCUCCAAGACUCCAAGACAAGUUGCUGAGAAGAUAAUGAUUUUCUGAGAAUUGAAGUCCUGGUACCAAAGAGUAAAUUGGCUUAAUUUGAAGAUCUUGCUCAGUUCUUCAUGGAAUUUUUCCAGCUCUUCAUCCCUUACAACAAAAUGAACAAAUAAAUUUGUUUGCUAAAUUUAUUUAUUUAUAAAUAAAUAAAAUAGGAAAAAAACCUAUUAAGCAAUUUUCUAUAUGCAGAGGACCAUGCUAAGCACUGGGAAUACAAAUAGAAAAAGCGAUUCAGUUCCUGUUCUAACUCUCAGUGGAGGAGACACAAAACAUCAAAGUUAAGCUGCCAAGUCAAUGGCAAGAACAGGAAGUUCUAAGGCUGCUGCUCCCAACAUAGCAAGGCUUAGGAGUCCUCAGAUUAUAUCAGAAGAUCAGAUGAGAGUGCCAGGUACUACUAGAGCCAAGCCAGAAAGAAAGCUCUAGAAGAAUUUAGGAAACAGCUUCAGGACAUAAGCCCUAUUGAUCCUUUUUUUUCUGCAAAAACAAUAGAGUUGGUGAUCCCUCUCAUCUAUAUUUGUCCACAUUUAAACAUCUCAGAUGGGUUCUGGGUGGCCUUGACCAAGGGUUGAUGUGAGAAGAAAAGAAAAGAGGAAGAGCCUCCCCAAAAUCCCAUAGUGAGGGGUCUUCUUGCUGCCUGGCUUCCCAAUGCAUUUUGAAACAAGACUGGGUUAGGUUAGGUUAGGAGAGGGAAUCAAAGGGUUAGACCAAAAAGGGAAGGUCAGUCUCUGGGACAUUGAAGUGAAUAGAAAAAAAACAGAUGAGGAGGCACCAAACAUAAAUGUCACCUAGACUUCAGUUUUGCCUAGGGCCAGCUCUGGCUUUACAAGUACAUAAAAUGAAUGUUUAAUUCCUGAUGAUAAAGUUAUCCCAGCUAUUCAGCCAUAGUUUUCAACGGCUAGUAUCUUUCAUCUGUGAAUGAGUGAAAAAACAUUUUUAAGAACCUACGAAGA